GUCGUAACAAGGUUUCCGUAGGUGAACCUGCGGAAGGAUCAUUACUGAGUUUGGGACUUCGGUCCCUACUCCCAUCCCGUGUUUACAUCAUGUUUGUUGCUUUGGCGGAUCGAUGGGUUUUUCCGUCGCCGGUUCCUCUUCGGAACUGGCGAGUGUCUGCCAAAAGGUAACCUUAAAUUCUUUUGAACUUGGAAUUCUGAAGAUAAUACAAAUGAAUCAAAACUUUCAACAACGGAUCUCUUGGUUCCGGCAUCGAUGAAGAACGCAGCGAAAUGCGAUAAGUAAUGUGAAUUGCAGAAUUCAGUGAAUCAUCGAAUCUUUGAACGCACAUUGCGCCCUUUGGUAUUCCGAAGGGCAUGCCUGUCCGAGCGUCAUUUCAAACCAUCAAGCUCAGCUUGGUCUUAGACGAGGNUGAUUUUUCGACCCGUCUUCAAACUCAACGGCGAUCAUGUCCGGCCUCGAGCGUAGCAGAAAAUUCUCGCUCAGUGGUUUGGAAGGCAAUUUGCCAGAAACUUUCUCUGAAUUUUGACCUCGGAUCAGGUAGGGAUACCCGCUGAACUUAAGCAUAUCAAUAAGCGGAGGAAAAGAAACCAACAGGGAUUGCCUCAGUAACGGCGAGUGAAGCGGCAACAGCUCAAAUUUGAAAUCUGGCGCAAGCCCGAAUUGUAAUUUGCAGAGGAUGUUUCGGAGUCGUUCCCGACCUAAGUUCCUUGGAACAGGACGUCGCAGAGGGUGAGAAUCCCGUACGCGGCCGGAUGACUUCUCCAUGUGAAACUCCUUCGACGAGUCGAGUUGUUUGGGAAUGCAGCUCUAAUUGGGAGGUAAAUUUCUUCUAAAGCUAAAUAUUGGCCGGAGACCGAUAGCGCACAAGUAGAGUGAUCGAAAGAUGAAAAGCACUUUGAAAAGAGAGUUAAAAAGUACGUGAAAUUGUUGAAAGGGAAGCGUUUGCGGCCAGACUCGAUGGCGGUUGCUCAGCCGGUCUUUGCCCGGUGCACUCUUCCGUCAACGGGCCAGCAUCGGUUUCGACGGUCGGAUAAAGGUCUUGGGAAUGUGGCUCUUCGGAGUGUUAUAGCCCUCGACACAAUGCGAUCAGUCGGGACCGAGGGAAGCGAUUCUUGGAUGCUGGCUUAAUGGCCGUCAACGGCC
rnacentral:rRNA from 1 species